UUUGUGUUUGUUUCAUCAUAUGCAGUUUGAAAACACACCAAAAAGUCAAACUAAUAAUUACCACAUGAUCAUUUUAAAUGGUGAUUUACACAUAUAAUUUUCUUAUGUUGUGAAAUAGAAAUUGUGGCUUUACACAAACAUUCAUUCUUUAACUGUGCAUCUUAAAUUCUUUUCAUUUCUCUCUACAGGUAAAUGGAAGUGGAUCAGCUUCAGCUCCAGUUUUUACUACGUCUCUAAUGAUUAUAAGAGCUGGGAGGAGAGCAGACAGAACUGCAGGGACGAAGGAACAGAUCUGAUAAUCAUCAACAGCAGAGAGGAGCAGGAGUUCAUCAGUAAACACAUCAGCAGUAUCAGUGGGGUUUGGAUUGGUCUGAGUGACAGAGAUAAAGAGGGAGAGUGGAAAUGGGUGGACGCUUCACCACUGACCUUCAAGGACUGGGGUCAGUGGGAACCGGGUGGUAAAGAGAAAGAGAAUUGUGUUGAAAUGUACAAAUCUUCAAAAAGCAUAAUCUGGAAUGACAAGAACUGCUCUGAAAAACUAAACUGUAUCUGUGAGAAAAAUGUUUCUUCCUGAAGUGAAAAUCACUUUUACACAACUUGAGCUGAUUAUAUUCAGUAUAAAGACAAUAUUUGGAUGUGAA